rnacentral:rRNA from 1 species
GACGAACGCUGGCGGCGUGCUUAACACAUGCAAGUCGAGCGGUAAGGCUCCUUCGGGAGUACACGAGCGGCGAACGGGUGAGUAACACGUGAGCAAUCUGCCCUUCACAUUGGGAUAACC